GGUGGGGUGGCCGAGUGGCUGAAGGCGCUCGCCUGCUAAGCGGGUAGGGGGGCCAAAACCUCCCUCGAGGGUUCGAAUCCCUCCUCCACCGCCA
rnacentral:tRNA from 1 species